GGACACAAGUCGCUACUGGAUGACGUCUCCGGGAGGAGACACCGCGCGCAAAAAAGGAAUGUCUUUUAUCAUUCGUUCCUGCCUGUUUAUUCUUCUGUAUGCAUCAUCCAGCUCUUUGAGUUGAUCUGUGAAGGCAUCGCUGUGUUACUCUUCUUCCAUGGCAAUUAUAUAAAGAUCUAAACGGCAUUCGGCAUCUGCGUGCUUUGUGGGGAACAGUUAACUCACUGUCGACCCUGGCAAGACGCGAGGGAGGGGCAGUACACUGAUUCAUUUCACUUCAUGGAACGCAGAGCGACCCAAGACGUGGCAGAGGAAGAGCAGAGGCCCCAUUUUCCAACAAAAAUUAAACAAAUAAAACAUAAGAGGAGGAGAAAACAGUUCAUCUGCAGUCGUCAAAAACGCUAGCUCUGUUUUGAAGUGAGGAGACUUAACGUUAAUCUCUCCACUAGCUCAUCUGCUGCUGGUGUGUUUCUCUUAUUUCAGUUUAAUAUUGUUUUUGUAUAGCACUUCAGCUGUGUUUAAAUCUGCUGCAUAAAUAAACUUUACUUUAACAUUGUCAUGACCUGCUCGUACGAUCCUCCUGUGUGUCACACCCCCUCAUUAACCUCAUGUGAAACCCUGAUUGCUCUGGCCCAGGCUCCACCCAUGCCUGACAUCCCGGCUCUGCCCACUGUAUCUCCUGCUCCAGUCCCCCCAGCUCCAGAUCCAGUCCCCAAGGAGGUCCCGGACUAUUAGAACACCGCUCUUCCCCCCUUGAUGGAGGGAGAGGAGGAGCUUGAGUGAGACCCCUCAGGGACCUCCCUAAUGGACCCAAUGGACUCGCCCCAGCACGGUGAAUCCCGACUGGGUCUCCACCUGUCAGUGUCCCGAAAGGGGAGAGGACACUUGCGCAGGGUUCGGGUCCCGGGCUCGGGGGGCGCCUGCGGGUCCAUUGCCUCCUGCUCAGCGGUUUCCUGCGGGUCCCCCUCUGAGGCCUCGUCAGCCGCCCUCAGUCCCACCUCCGACGCCUCGUUGGUCACCUGCGGGUACCCCUGCUUCGACUUCUCGGUCGGCUGUGCCUUCGCCGGCUGUGGCUGCGCCGUCACUCCCCUCCGACUUCCUCCUCGCCUCCCCUGGUGCCCCCUCCGACUUCCUCCUCAACUCCUCCGCCUGUCCCUCUGCCUGCCUCCUCGCCCUCUGCGAGGUCCCCUCCGGCUCUGGUCUCUGGGUCGCCUGCGGCCCCUCCGGCUGCUGCCCGUCAUCUGCUGUGGCUCCCUCGGGCUCCCCAUUGUCCGCUGUCCUCGAUGUUCCUCCCUCCUUCCUUCGUCCCUCCUGUGUCUGCUCCUUGUCCCUCGGUGUCUCCUCUGUUCACUCCUGGUCCUUUUGUUUCUCUGUUCUCUGUGCCCUCUGUAUCUCCUUUCCUGGUCUGCCUGUCUGCGUUUCCCGUCUUGUGUCAGGUCUUGUCUUGGCUUUUGCCCUUGUGCUUGUUUUGUGUUUCGGUUCUGUUCCCUGUACCCCGAUGAUGCUCUUGUCUUGUUUUUCAGGUCCUGUUGUCCCGGUUUCCUCUCAUCCUUCACCUCCCAUGAGAAGCGCCCGGAGUGCGCGCCUUGGGGGGGUUCUGUCAUGACCUGCCUGUACGAUUCUCCUGUGUGCCACACCCCCUCAUUAACGUGAUGUGAAACCCUGAUUGUUCCCAGCUGUUUGUUAUUUCCGGUAUGUCCUGUGUAUUUCAGUCCGUGUUCGAGUACGUUUCCCUAGGUCUGUCAUUAAUGUUGCCUGUGAGUUAAGUCUAUUCCCCGUCAAUAAACCCUGUUUGCCUGUA